AGGGGUGCUCUAUUAGGGUGCAAGCCCGAGAGAGCCGCAGUGAAUAGGCCCAGGCGACUGUUUAGCAAAAACACAGGUCUCUGCAAAACCGUAAGGUGACGUAUAGGGGCUGACGCCUGCCCGGUGCUGGAAGGUUAAGAGGAGUGCUUAGCUUCGGCGAAGGUACGAAUUGAAGCCCCAGUAAACGGCGGCCGUAACUAUAACGGUCCUAA
rnacentral:rRNA from 1 species